AUGAUUCUAGGAUUCUUUAGUUGAUUGAAGAGUAGAAUUUGAGGAGAGACUUGAUAAGAUUUCUAUAGGCAUUGAUUUUGAGGGUUUUGGAUAGAUAAUGACUUUGUAAGAGCUUUGCAAAGUUGAUGUUGUUUUUGGUGACUUUGAUUUUUUUGGAAAAUAAAAUAGGAUUAAUGUUUUGGAUAAUUUUAAGAGUUUGGUAAGAGAUCUACUAAUGAAAAUUUUUGGGUUUAAAGAUGUAGAUGUGCUUGAUAUGUGCUAGGAAUUUGGAAUUGAUGAAAUAGAUGGAUUGAAAAGCAUGAAGGUUUUUGUGGGUUAUGGUCUCAAAAUUCAGGGUUUUGAGGACUAUUGAAGUUUUCUUAAAUAUCUAUCAAUCCACUAGUUAAAUUGAGGCAAAUUUUUUUUUACAAAAGAAGUUAGCUUGAUUUCUAACAAGUAAAUAGAGUUUGGAAGCAAAGUAACAAUUCAAUUAGGAGUAAUUUAUUCUAGGAGAUUAGCAUCAAGGUCGGAGAAAGAAGACAACUAAUAAUCAAACACAUCUUUGAGGUUAUUGUAU
rnacentral:lncRNA from 1 species